rnacentral:rRNA from 1 species
ACGGCUCAACCGUAGUAGCCUUUUGGAACUGUUUAGCUUGAGUGCAGGAGAGGAGAGUGGAAUUCCUAGUGUAGCGGUGAAAUGCGUAGAUAUUAGGAGGAACACCAGUGGCGAAGGCGACUCUCUGGACUGCAACUGACGCUGAGGCACGAAAGCGUGGGGAGCGAACAGGAUUAGAUACCCUGGUAGUCCACGCCGUAAACGAUGAGUGCUAGGUGUCGGGGGUUCACACCCUCGGUGCCGGAGUUAACGCAUUAAGCACUCCGCCUGGGGAGUACGGUCGCAAGACUGAAACUCAAAGGAAUUGACGGGGACCCGCACAAGCAGCGGAGCAUGUGGUUUAAUUCGAAGCAACGCGAAGAACCUUACCAGGACUUGACAUCCCUAUGACCGGUCCUUAAUCGGACUUUUCCCUUCGGGGACGUAGGAGACAGGUGGUGCAUGGUUGUCGUCAGCUCGUGUCGUGAGAUGUUGGGUUAAGUCCCGCAACGAGCGCAACCCUUGUCUUUAGUUGCCAGCAGGUAAAGCUGGGCACUCUAGAGAGACUGCCGGUGACAAACCGGAGGAAGGUGGGGAUGACGUCAAAUCAUCAUGCCCCUUAUGUUCUGGGCUACACACGUGCUACAAUGGCUGGUACAACGGGAAGCCAAGGAGUAAUCUGGAGCGAAUCCCAAAAAGCCAGUCCCAGUUCGGAUUGUGGGCUGCAACUCGCCCACAUGAAGUCGGAGUUGCUAGUAAUCGUGAAUCAGAAUGUCGCGGUGAAUGCGUUCCCGGGUCUUGUACACACCGCCCGUCACACCAUGGAAGUCCAUGGCACCCGAAGUCAGUGAGUUAACCCUAGUGGAGACAGCUGCCGAAGGUGAAAUGGAUGACUAGGGUGAAGUCGUAACAAGGUAGCCGUAUCGGAAGGUGCGGCUGGAUCACCU